CCUACGGGAGGCAGCAGUGGGGAAUUUUGGACAAUGGGCGAAAGCCUGAUCCAGCAAUGCCGCGUGCAGGAUGAAGGCCCUCGGGUUGUAAACUGCUUUUGUACGGAACGAAAAGCCUGGGGCUAAUAUCCCCGGGUCAUGACGGUACCGUAAGAAUAAGCACCGGCUAACUACGUGCCAGUAGCCGCGGUAAUACGUAGGGUGCAAGCGUUAAUCGGAAUUACUGGGCGUAAAGCGUGCGCAGGCGGUUUUGUAAGACAGUGGUGAAAUCCCCGGGCUCAACCUGGGAACUGCCAUUGUGACUGCAAGGCUAGAGUGCGGCAGAGGGGGAUGGAAUUCCGCGUGUAGCAGUGAAAUGCGUAGAUAUGCGGAGGAACACCGAUGGCGAAGGCAAUCCCCUGGGCCUGCACUGACGCUCAUGCACGAAAGCGUGGGGAGCAAACAGGAUUAGAUACCCUGGUAGUCCACGCCCUAAACGAUGUCAACUGGUUGUUGGGUCUUAACUGACUCAGUAACGAAGCUAACGCGUGAAGUUGACCGCCUGGGGAGUACGGCCGCAAGGUUGAAACUCAAAUGAAUUGACGGGG
rnacentral:rRNA from 1 species